rnacentral:rRNA from 1 species
AGUGAACGCUGGCGGUAGGCCUAACACAUGCAAGUCGAACGGCAGCACAGUAAGAGCUUGCUCUUACGGGUGGCGAGUGGCGGACGGGUGAGGAAUACAUCGGAAUCUACUUUUUCGUGGGGGCUAACGUAGGGAAACUUACGCUAUUACCGCAUACGACCUACGGGUGAAAGCAGGGGAUCUUCGGACCUUGCGCGAUUGAAUGAGCCGAUGUCGGAUUAGCUAGUUGGCGGGGUAAAGGCCCACCAAGGCGACGAUCCGUAGCUGGUCUGAGAGGAUGAUCAGCCACACUGGAACUGAGACACGGUCCAGACUCCUACGGGAGGCAGCAGUGGGGAAUAUUGGACAAUGGGCGCAAGCCUGAUCCAGCCAUACCGCGUGGGUGAAGAAGGCCUUCGGAUUGUAAAGCCCUUUUGUUGGGAAAGAAAAGCAGCAGGUUAAUACCCCGCUGUUCUGACGGUACCCAAAGAAUAAGCACCGGCUAACUUCGUG